CACGUAGGGCGCGAGCGUUGUCCGGAAUUAUUGGGCGUAAAGCGCACGUAGGCGGUUCGUUAAGUCGGAUGUGAAAGCCCUCGGCUCAACUGAGGAAGUGCACCCGAAACUGGCGAGCUUGAGUACGAAAGAGGAUCGCGGAAUUCCCGGUGUAGAGGUGAAAUUCGUAGAUAUCGGGAGGAACACCGGUGGCGAAGGCGGCGAUCUGGGUCGAUACUGACGCUGAGGUGCGAAAGCGUGGGGAGCAAACAGG
rnacentral:rRNA from 1 species